rnacentral:rRNA from 1 species
UAAGGAAUAUUGGUCAAUGGACGCAAGUCUGAACCAGCCAUGCCGCGUGGAGGAUGAAGGCCCUCUGGGUUGUAAACUUCUUUUAUAUGGGACGAAACCCUCUCAUUCUUGAGAGACUGACGGUACCAUAGGAAUAAGCACCGGCUAACUCCGUGCCAGCAGCCGCGGUAAUACGGAGGGUGCAAGCGUUAUCCGGAUUCACUGGGUUUAAAGGGUGCGUAGGAGGGCAGGUAAGUCAGUGGUGAAAUCCCCGAGCUUAACUUGGGAACUGCCGUUGAUACUAUCUGUCUUGAAUAUUGUGGAGGUGAGCGGAAUAUGUCAUGUAGCGGUGAAAUGCUUAGAUAUGACAUAGAACACCAAUUGCGAAGGCAGCUCGCUACACAAAUAUUGACUCUGAGGCACGAAAGCGUGGGGAUCAAACAGGAUUAGAUACCCUGGUAGUCCACGCCCUAAACGAUGGAUACUCGACAUACGCGAUACACAGUGUGUGUCUGAGCGAAAGCAUUAAGUAUCCCACCUGGGAAGUACGACCGCAAGGUUGAAACUCAAAUGAAUUGAC